rnacentral:rRNA from 1 species
UACGUAGGUGGCGAGCGUUGUUCGGAAUUACUGGGCGUAAAGGGCGCGUAGGCGGCCUGUUAAGUCGAACGUGAAAUCCCCGGGCUCAACCCGGGAACUGCGUCCGAUACUGGCAGGCUUGAAUCCGGGAGAGGGAUGUGGAAUUCCAGGUGUAGCGGUGAAAUGCGUAGAUAUCUGGAGGAACACCGGUGGCGAAGGCGGCAUCCUGGACCGGUAUUGACGCUGAGGCGCGAAAGCCAGGGGAGCAAACGGG